CCUGCCUCAGCCUCCCGAGUAGCUGGGAUUACAGGCGCCCGCCACCUCGCCCGGCUAGUUUUUUGUAUUUUUUAGUAGAGACGGGGUUUCACAGUGUUAGCCAGCAUGGUCUCGAUCUCCUGACCUCGUGAUCUACCCGUCUCGGCCUCCCAAAGUGCUGGGAUUACAGGCUUGAGCCACCGCGCCCGGCCAUUUUUUUGUAUUUUUAGUAGAGACAGGGUUUCACCAUGUUAGCCAGGAUGGUCUCGAUCUCCUGACCUUGGGUGAUCCACCUGCUUCAGCCUCCCAAAGUGCUGGGAUUACAGGCAUGAGCCACCACCCUGGUCUUAUUUAUCUUUUAAAGAAUAUAGUGACUCAGGCAAGAGACGUAGGGGGGUUUGUCUUUAAAGCAUCUUUCUGGAGAGCUGCAUGUUGUCAUAGAAUCAGGGGCUUGUGAAAUGAUGCUGGCAUGCAGAAAUGAGAAACAUGGCUUCUUAAAUUUGUUACUUUGUCUUAUAUGACCCAUGCUACCCCUUCAGAGGACCAGAUCUGGGAAGAAGCUAACAGUAUGCAGUAUGCCACCUCUCCAUGUGUUGUGUAAAACCUUGAUGUGUAGUGUUUGUCUAUUUCCUAGUAUAAAUAUGGCCAAUGUCAAGCUACCAACAUGACAUCACUUAACCUGGAGUUAAGAUGCACACAGUCCGUUCUUGCAAGCCAGGAAGAGUCGGCUCCAGCACCCCACUCAGUGAGGCCAGCCCUGAGAACAGCAGAGCUGGGAGCGAAAAGCACCUGCACACAGAUCUGCACCACGGAUCUGCCUCCACGUGGGCAGCUUUCUGUUACUUGGGGCCAAAUGCAUCCCACACCCUGGAGGACUGCACGGCAAGAAGAGAAGAAAACCCAGGAGCAGCCCAGAGGAACGGACAGGAUUUAUGCAGCAGGCAGAGGAAGAGGAGGCCGUGAGCUCAGCUGCCACAGUACUGUGGUGAUGCCAAGGGGCACCUGAAGGGCUAAGUAUUCCAAGACAGCAAUGUCAGGAAAGGCUGCUCAGGUUUGAGGAGUGGGACCGGCAGAGCUGGAUGAAACCUGACUAUGCUGAAGCGGAAAUGGAGACCCUGGGAGGGGCAGGGACCUGCUGAGUGCCUCCCCCAGGGAGUAGCUGACCUGGACUGCAUCCUGGUUCUUCUGCUGAGGGAGGAGGAUUUGGGGUAAGGAGACUAAGUGUGGCCUUAGGAAUACAGCCCCCAGAGCCAGGCAGGAGCGGGCAGCCCCACAGGGCCCAGGUUCAAGUGCGAGGCUGCCAAUACCGCCCCUUGGAAGCACCUCUGUUGUUCUGUCCUGGAUGUUUGAGUACUUGGCCAGCUUCCUGGGCAAUGGCCUCAUCCCACUGAGACAGACAGAUGUGCACAGCUGGGGGAGGGGCUUGGUGAAAUCCAACCCCGCCCAGCACAGGCCUGGGCUUCCCGGGGCUGGAACUUAUCUGGAUUCUGGUCCGGAUCUCUGCCUUGGCCCUGUUGUGCAGCCCUGGGCAGUGCCGUGGCUUCCCCUUGGGCCUCAGUUUUCUUGUCUCUCAAAUAGGGGAAGCUCUUCAUUUCUUUCAUUAGACAUUGACUGCGGUCGUCCGUCCUUGGCCCACUGACUCCAGUAUUUGGGGAUGCAUUAUCUGGUUGUAGGAUACUUCCGCCCUUCUAUUUUAAAAUUUGUCUCAAAAAAUUAUGGUAGAAUGGUCUGGGUGCGGUGGCUCAUGCCUGCAAUCCCAGCACUUUGGGAGGCCGAGGCAGGCAGAUCACGAGGUCAGGAGAUCAAGACCAUCCUGGCCAACAUGGUGAAAACCCGUCUCUACUAAGAAUACAAAACUUAGCCGGGCGCGGUGGCGGGCGCCUGUAGUCCCAGCUACUCGGGAGGCUGAGGUAGGAGAAUCACUUGAACCUGGGAGGCGGAGGUUGUGGUGAGCCGACAUCGGGCUACUGCACUCCAGCCUGGCGACACAGCGAGACUCCAUCUUUAAAAAAAAAAAAAAAAAUUACCAUUUUAACCUUUUUAAGUGUACAGUUCAAUGGCAUGACAUACAUUGACAUUGUUGUACAGCCUUCCCCGCUAUCUCCAGAACUUUUUCAUCACCUUAAACUUGAAUCCCCUCCUUUUAAAAAUAACAGCUUUAUUGUGAUAUAAUUCACAUAUUAUACAACUCAUUUAAAGUGUACAACUAGCCGGGCACGAUGGCUUACGUCUGUAAUCCCAGCACUUUGGGAGGCCGAGGUGGGCAGAUUACUUGAGGUCAGAAGUUCGAGACCAGCCUGGGCAACAUGGUGAAACCCCGUCUCUACUAAAACUACCAAACUUAGCCAGGCGUGGUGAUGCAGACCUAUAGUCCCAGCUACUUGGGAGGCUGAGGCAGGAGAAUCACUUGAACCUGGGAGGCGGAGGUUACAGUGAGCCAAGAUCACACCACUGUACUCCAGCUUGGGGGACAGAGUGAGACUCUGUCUCAAAAAAAAAAAAAAAAAGAAAAUUCCACUCCACUCUCUUUUUGUUUGCAUGGUUUCUGAGAAGUUGGAUAUAAUUCUCUUUGCUCCUCUGUAGGUACGGUGUUUUUUUUUUCCUUUGGCUUUUGUGGGGAUUUUUUUUUUUUUUUUUUUUUUUUUUGGUGGAAUCUUACUCUGUGUCCCAGGCUGGAGUGCAGUGGAGUCAUCUCAGCUCACUGCAACCUGCAUCUCCGAGGUUCAAGUGAUUCUCAUGCCUCAGCCUCCCAAAUAGCUGGGAUUACAGGCACCCGCCAACACGCCUGGCUAAUUUUUUAUACUUUUUUAGUAGAGACAGGGUUUCACCAUGUUGGCCAGGCUGGUCUCAAACUUCUGAUCUCACGUGAUCUGCCCACCUCAGCCUCCCAAAGUGCUGGGAUUACAGCCGUGAGCCACCGCGCCCAGCUUUUUUUGGGAUUUAAAAAAAUCUCUGAUAUUCUGUUGUUUGCAAACAAUAUGCUAGGUGUAGAUUUGUUAUUGUUGUUGUAUUUAUCCUGCUUGGUAUUCUCUGAGCUUUCUGGAUCUGUGGUUUGAUGCUUGACAUAAAUUUGGAAAAAUUUUGUUGUCAUUGUUUCAAAUAUUCUUCCGUUCCUUUCUCUUUGUCUUCUCUUUCUGGUAUGCCCAUUAUAUGUAAGUUACACCUCUUGUAGCUUCCCAUCCCUAUCCAUUAUAAACCCCUAUGCCACCCUCCACCAUGUCUGUACACUCCCGACCUCCCCCAGCCUUAGGCAACCACUAAUCUGCUUUCUGUCUCUACGAAUUUGCCUGUUCUGGACAUUUCAUAUAAAUUGAUUCAUAUGACCUGUAUGAUCUUUUGUCUGGCUUCUUUUGCUUUGUGGGAUGUUUUCGAGGUUCAUCAUGUUGUAGCACAUGCCAGUGCUUCAUUCCUCCCUAUUUUUAACAUCUGGCUUCUCCGGCAUAGGGGCUGAGAGAACAGGGGCUCGACAGGCAAUAUCUCCUUCUUCAUCCACCCAGAUCGUGCUCCUGUCUGUGGGUCGAGCCUGUCAGCUGCCAAUGUCCUCUGCGUGGCAGGUGUCUGAACACUGGCUCUGUGGGAGCAUGUGUGUGCUCUUUGGAGGUCCUGUGGGAGCCUCAGCCUCCACAGUCACCUGAUGUGGUUAUCUGGCUCCUUGAUAACCUAUUCCAAUGCCCCCCAACCCCCUGCCCUUGCCUGCAGCGGUCCGCCCCAUGAUUCCUGUUGCUGGGGCCCCUUGUGUGCUAGGUGUCUUCUUGGUUGGGUCCCAAAAGAUGGUACAAGUUCACCUCUUUUUUCUGUGUUCUCUGCUGGCCUCAGCAAAUGGCAAGCAUGCAGACUGUCUUAUUGCCAGCCCCUUCCACCCUGCCAUUUCUCUCCACUACUCUCUUCCCCUGCUCAGACAGGCCCAGGGACAGA
ensembl:lincRNA